rnacentral:rRNA from 1 species
GUGUCUUGGGAUAGUAUGACAAUGCCGAGGUAUAUGGUUGGUCUUGUCUUUCGCGAUUUUGAACCUCUUAACUUGGCUCUCCUGGCUCGGCAAUCUUGGAGGAUCUUGGUCUCUCCGGAUUCACUUAGUGCUAAUUAUAAAGCAGUAUACUUCCCAAAUAUCUCAAUCCUUGAUGCCAAUAUAGGAAGCCAUCCAUCUCAGGUUUGGAGGUCUAUUCUGGAAGGAAGGGAUAUUAUGAAGCAGGGCCUGAUUAGGCGAAUUGGGGACGGAUCAGAAAUGGAAAUAUGGAGUACAAAUUGGAUCCUGCGGGCUGAGUUAAUGAGACCACUCGUCUCUAGAGUCCUAGACCCACCCCAACUAGUGGCUGAAUUGAUUGACUCAAGAAAUGCACGCUGGAACAGGGAGGUGGUGAAUCGGGUGUUUCUGUUGUUUGAUGCACAGGCAAUCUUUCAGAUUCCGAUCUGCCUUAGGAAUGUGGUGGAUUUUUGGUCCUGA